AAGAUUUUAAGUUAUAAGAAACUGUUAGUUUUCAAAGCUGAAAAUAAAAUAUUUUUUUUUAAAUCUUG
rnacentral:tRNA from 1 species